UGAACGCUAGCUACAGGCUUAACACAUGCAAGUCGAGGGGCAGCAUUGGAGUAGCAAUACUCAGAUGGCGACCGGCGCACGGGUGAGUAACACGUAUCCAACCUGCCGCUUACUCGGGGAUAGCCUUUCGAAAGAAAGAUUAAUACCCGGAUGGUAUAAAGAGUUCGCAUGUUCUCUUUAUUAAAGAAUUUCGGUAAGCGAUGGGGAUGCGUUCCAUUAGAUAGUUGGCGGGGUAACGGCCCACCAAGUCUACGAUGGAUAGGGGUUCUGAGAGGAAGGUCCCCCACAUUGGUACUGAGACACGGACCAGACUCCUACGGGAGGCAGCAGUGAGGAAUAUUGGUCAAUGGGCGAGAGCCUGAACCAGCCAAGUCGCGUGAAAAGGGAAGAAGGAUCUAUGGUUCGUAAACUUCUUUUGCAGGGGAAUAAAGUGCAGGACGUGUCCUGUUUUGUAUGUACCCUGAGAAUAAGGAUCGGCUAACUCCGUGCCAGCAGCCGC
rnacentral:rRNA from 1 species